rnacentral:lncRNA from 1 species
GCUGCAGUAACAGCCACAUCGUGUCAGACUGAACACCAGCUGAAUUCUCCCUCCUGGCUUCACAGAGGCCCACAGCAGCUGCCUGAGGGAAGGCAUAGCAACAGGAUAACUGUGCCCACAGUAGCUGACAAAUCGCCAACAGUUUGCAGUUCAAGGACUGUUUGGUCGUGGAGUGUUUUUUGUUGCUGUUUUUGGCCAAAAAGCUCUGGAAUGUCAAACUCUAGCAGGAGGAAGACCCCCUCACCCAACCACCACCAAACAUCACAGUGGUGGAAGAUGCCUGGAGACUGUUUCCUCUGCCAUUUGUCCAGCUCCAGUGUGUGCUGGCUAGCAGCACAGGGAGACAUGACAUUGAAGAAUUUGUGUGUCAAUGACUGUGGCUGACCAUUGUAUGUCAGAUGACAGAACAAAAGAAAAAGUGUGAACACACAAAACUACUUCAGAUUUCUUUACAUUUGCUGAAGAAGCUCUUGCUUCAAAAUCUGAUGCUGAAUUUUGACUGUCAAAGAUGGAAUAACACCACUUAAGUCAAUACAUGAAAGGAGACUUACAAUGGUCAGGUGUGGUUUUUUGAGACGAAUAGAAUUGAUUAGCAGUUAUAGUUCAUAAUUUGUGACUGUUUUUGCAAUAUCACAAAUGUGGAACUCCAAAGUCUUGAGGUAGUGAUACACCUCUGGACCAGAGGGUAGAGGGAAUUUUAUUUGUCAAUUUAAGCAUUGUGUGACAUCUCUGAAAUCUAUCUCUGAAAUCUCAAUCUAAUUAAUUCAUUUUUUUAAGUAAUUUAUAAUGAAAACAAAUAUAGUCUCAGUACAAUGGUAUAACUCUGUUUUAGGCGUUCCCCACUUCUGUGUAUCCCUCUGAUGUGCGUAGUAUCUACUUUUGAGUCUCCUCAUGUUUGUGUGCUAAUAGCUACUGCAAUCUAAUAGCUAAUCUUGGUAUAAACUGUUCCCUUGCAGCUACAGCAACAGCUACGGAAUCACUCAGCAAUACAGAGGUGCUCACAAUAGGAACUAUUUAUUCACAUAAGGCAGAUUCACAGUCUGAGGUUUUAAGCACUUCAGGAAAUAGACUGUGAUCUAAUUUUUCAAAUACCUGUGUAACUGUUAAAUUGAAUGAAAAUUUUCCUUGUUUGUACUAGUGGGGGAUGAUACUAUUCUCCAUCAUUCUGUUCAGAAAAUGCCUUAAAGUCUCCAGCUAUAUUGUGUAUUGUUUCCAUGACAUAAAUUGCAUCAAGGUGCAGCUUAUUAGGCAAGAUUUUUAAAAUAAACGAGUCCCCUUUUAUUUGACUAGAUCCUUG